UUCUGCCUCUCCGUGUCCCCCCCCCCUUUUGCCAACUCUGAUUCUCGGUCCAAUGAGACGGAGGUGAGACCCCCCAGGAGGCCGAGGGUGGCUUGGCAGGCGUGGAAUCCAGAAGAGGAAGAGGAGAACCAGGUGGAGAUCAUACGUCCACGUGAGUAAUUGGUGGGAAGCACUGGGGACAGCAGUCAUGCUCUACUCAAAGCUGGCAGCCACUUUUUCUGGCACCACCUUUUCUGAAACCCCCCUCCCCAGCAUGGAGUCCAGCUCUAGCUAAAGGGAUCGUGGUACCAUGGAAUCCUGGAAUGGUUGGGUGUGGAGGGGCCUCAAAGCCCUCACGGGCCCAGCCCCUGCCGUGGGCUGGUUGCCACCCACUAGAUCAGGCUGCCCGUGGCCCCAUACAGCCUUGCCUUUAGCACCUCCAAGGAUGGGGCACCUGCGGCUUCUCUGGGCAGCCUGUGCCAGUGCCAACCUCUCCCAGCCUGUUGGGAUGGCUGACGAGAGGCUGCUGCGCUGGCAGGAGGUACCCGCAUUUCCGCAGUCAGGCUCAGGGAAGCUGGCAGGAUGGAUGGCUCCGUGCAACACGCUGGGGCCAUUCCUUCCGUCACUCCUUCCCUUCAGCCCCUCUCCAUGGUGCUCAUUGUUCUCCUCCUUGCUUAGGUACUACCAUAUGGGAGCUGUGGAGAAAAGCGGCCAUUCUAUGCAUCGGUGAGUUUCUGAAGAGACAGGACAAGGUAAGAGCAGCUGCUUCCACUGUGGUGCCCCUGCUGUUCUCCAGGCUGCUGCCCUGCAGGCAUUGCACCGCGCCCCACGAUGCUUGGGGUCCUGCUGGCCAUUGAUCUCACCUUCAUGCUCCCUCUUGUUCCCUCUGCGACCACCAGGAUGAGCGACAGAAAAUCAAAUUCCUGAGCAGCAUCUGCGUACUGUGCAAAUGCAAGGACACGUCGCUCGACUUGAAUACUUUCUGCCGAGAAAACCAGCUGGCAGAGAAUGUCCAGGUGAGGAGAUAUGCACUGGGCUGGAGACGGGGGCAUGGACCCCCUGCACCUUGUGUGGACAGGACUGGCACGGGGAGAAGUGAGCACGGACGUGGAACUGUCUUCUGGUGGCUGCCACAUCCCGUCCCUCCUGUGUUCUGUAGGCGCUGAUCGAUGAGGAGGCCAUGCACGCUUUGUGCUCAGUGAUAAAGCAGAAAGUCAUGCUGACCUUUGCUGACAUGAGGUAGCUGCCCAGGCCCACAUUUGGCUAGCACGGCCCCAGGGCAGGCUCCUGGUGGCCUCGAAGCUGGCAGGGAGGUUCCCUCCUCCGCGUGGAGGGCCAUGUCCUCCUUGGCAAAGCCUCAAGGCACAGUGUCCAACAGGCUCCUCUCUCCCCUUCCAGCACUGUGGAGACAGCACUGGAAGGCAAAACAGAGAGCAUCCUGAAUUCCUGCUUCAACAGUGUCUUCUUUUUGCCUCCGGAACUGGACGUACCAGAAGAGGAGCAAACUCUCUACACUAAGACCAUGAUUGCCAUGAACGUCAUGCUGCGAGCCUUGGUGCACAACUGCCCCAGCUCCAGAAUGAGGGAGGAGAUGUGCAGCAUCUUUCAGGCUCUGCUCCACUUCUUCCACUCCCAGCACAUGCACGUUCGUACGAGAGCCCUGUACGGGGUUUUACGGAUGAUCACGGACUUUAUAGAAAAAGACUGGUACUGCGCUGCAAAUUGCGGGUUUAUAUAUGAGUCACUCAUCGAGGUCUACUUCCCAAUCCUGGGACAGCUGCUGGGUCACCUCUGCCUUUUCAGUUGUGGCCAACAUGCCACCAGAGUUCCAGCUACAGAUGCUCUUUAUCGCCUCUAUGCAUUUGUCAAACGCGAUAGAAGAACAGCCCUGACAGAGGAGAUGGAAAAGUACGUGCAUCUCCGGGAGAAGCUGCAGGAUACUAAUUUUGCAUGCGAUAACUUGUGCAGUCCCAGUGAUUGUGCCAAGGUAACCUUCUGCCUUGCUGAGGAUCUCGUCCACAGCAUCAGCAGGAAAUGUUUGUGAGCAAAGGGAGUGUCACGGCAGCAGAUCCAGCCCUCCAGGCUGUCAGCAAGCCCUUCUUACCGACUGCCCAUGCCCCCGC
ensembl:lncRNA